rnacentral:lncRNA from 1 species
UGUCUUCCCGUUGAGUUGCUCGCUCCACGGCAUGGAGGACUAGGAAUCAGGAGUCAGUGGCCGUAUGCUGGAGGCUGGAGCCGCGGGAGCGCGGCUCGCCUCGCUGCGGUUGUUGGCAGCGACGGAGAUAGGAGUGCGGCUGGAGCGAUGUGCCAGGUGGUGCCAGUGCCAGCUAAUCACCUCCCUGUUGGCAGCACCGUGAACACUGUGCACCUGUCUUCAGAUGGCACUUAAAGCAGAGAAGCCUGCUGUGUGGCUGUGGGAGUCAUCAGAGAGGUGGCAGUGGAGGUUUGUUAUCGACCCAAUCAUUACAUCGCUACCCAAGAGUUGGAAACUUCCUGUGUUGCCCACGCUGGUCUCAAACUCCUGGACUCAUGGGAUCCUCCCACCUUGGCCUCCCAAAGCAGUGGUAUUACAGGCAUGAGCCAUUGCACUGGGCUCCUGUUUAGUUUUAAUUUUAAAACACCUCAAGAGUCAGAUAAUUCAGGGAAAGACCAUGCAAGGCUGUUACUGAAGAAAGUGCUACGAGUCUGUUCUAGACAUGGCUUGCCUAGCACUGAGCAUCCUUCCUCACUUCUAAGUGAGAAUUUUCCAGAUCUGUGCAUUGGGGUCCCCCAAGAAAGAGGCUCAGUCCUGAUGUACUGUUUCCUGUAUACUGCAUGCUCACCCCCCAAAACCACAUGGUUAAUCCAGAUCCAGCCCCUGCUUUCUUAGUUAUGAGGCUUCUCAUGGCAAAGCAAUAAAAAGCAAGUUUUCAAUGAUAAA